rnacentral:tRNA from 1 species
CCAUAGCUCAGCGGUUAGAGCAGCGGACUCAUAAUCCGUUGGUCCUGGGUUCAAAUCCCCGUGGG